CCAGGAGGUGGGAGCCCACUUGUUAUGGCUCAUGUCUAGAUGUCACCCCCAAGCUUCAUUCGGUCACAGGGGAGCUUUUUCAGAGGUGGCUGCUUCUAAAGUGUGUGACGCUGGAAUUGAUUCAUGGUGCAAUGCUAGGCUCAAGAGCACUAGGAUUAAAGCACCAGGUGUCACACAGAGCCAACCUUUCAUGAACUUUGUGUUUGUCCUCAUUUUCCGUACAAGAAGAGAGGGCAUGCUACACUUUAUUGAGAGGUACAAUAAAUACAGAGCUAGGGGUAAAGAUGUGGACCCAGAGCUCCAGACCAACACUUCCAUAUUGCCUUCCUCCGCUUGGCUUGUGUCUGAACCACCAGCAGCACACAGACAAAUAUGUGGGAUGAAUUUUUUUUUUCUUGAGCACAUACCUAAUGAAUAG
rnacentral:lncRNA from 1 species